UACGUAGGGUGCAAGCGUUAAUCGGAAUUACUGGGCGUAAAGCGUGCGCAGGCGGUUAUGUAAGACAGAUGUGAAAUGCCCGGGCUUAACCUGGGAACUGCAUUUGUGACUGCAUGGCUAGAGUUUGGCAGAGGGGGUAGAAUUCCACGUGUAGCAGUGAAAUGCGUAGAUAUGCGGAGGAACACCGAUGGCGAAGGCAAUCCCCUGGGCCUGCACUGACGCUCAUGCACGAAAGCGUGGGGAGCAAACAGG
rnacentral:rRNA from 1 species